rnacentral:rRNA from 1 species
GCCGGGUGUUAAACCGGAGGAAGCGGGGAUGACGUCAAGUCCUCAUGGCCCUUACAUCCCGGGCUACACACGUGCUACAAUGGCAGGUACAGAGGGCUGCGAAGCCGCGAGGUGGAGACGAAUCCCAGAAAACCUGUCUCAGUCCGGAUUGAAGUCUGCAACUCGACUUCAUGAAGGCGGAAUCGCUAGUAACCGCGGAAUCAGCAGGUCGCGGUGAAUACGUUCCCGGGCCUU